UAAGCGGAGGAAAAGAAACUAACAAGGAUUCCCCUAGUAACGGCGAGCGAACAGGGAAGAGCUCAAAUUUGAAAUCUGGCGUCCUCCGGGCGUCCGAGUUGUAAUCUAUAGAGACGUUUUCCGUGCCGGACCGUGUCCAAGUUCCUUGGAACAGGAUAUCAAAGAGGGUGACAAUCCCGUACUUGACACGACGACCGGUGCUCUGUGAUACGUUUUCUACGAGUCGAGUUGUUUGGGAAUGCAGCUCAAAAUGGGUGGUGAGUUCCAUCUAAAGCUAAAUAUUGGCGAGAGACCGAUAGCGAACAAGUACCGUGAGGGAAAGAUGAAAAGCACUUUGGAAAGAGAGUUAAACAGUACGUGAAAUUGUUAAAAGGGAAACGAUUGAAGUCAGUCGUGUCUGGGAGGCUCAGCCGGUUCUGCCGGUGUAUUCCUCUCAGACGGGUCAACAUCAGUUUUGUCCGACGGAUAAUGGCGGCGGGAAAGUAGCACCUCCGGGUGUGUUAUAGCCCGCUGUCGCAUACGCCGGAUGAGAUUGAGGCAUGCAGAUCGCCUUUAUGGCAGGGGUUCGCCCACUUUCGAGCUUAGGAUGUUGACGUAAUGGCUUUAAACGACCCGU
rnacentral:rRNA from 1 species